AUUCAAACGUCAAAAUAAUAUGUUUAACAUAAUGAUUCAGAGAAAAAUUAGAUUUUUUCCCAUUUCUUUUUGAAAUCUAAAAAUCCGUCUAAGUCCAAAAUGUUGCAUUUAAUCAGUUUCAAUAAUUUCAGAAUAAUACUUAUCGUUUCACUACAAUGACAUAUUCUAUCGGACUGUGAUUCGGUCUAAAUACUGUUAUGCCGUGUGUCCGUUGGACAAAGAAAUAAAAUAUUCAAUCACGCUGUCACGAACAAAUGAUAAAAAAAAA